UAAAUCCCCGAUAUAUCACUUAUUUACUUUAUCACGUUUGACUUGAAUUCAAGAUACCCCAAUCUCGGCAUUUAUCCAACAACAAACCUAAACCGCUUUCAUGCUUGAUAUGCUAUGAUCCGCAACCCAAAUGAUCAUCCAUCAUCUGCCAGAUCUACGUCCUUCAGAUGCUCUCCAGUUCCAUCGCUAUCAGCCACCAUCAAAAGCCUAGAACCCAUCUCAUAAAUCAGGCACUGUCAGAACUCCAAUGAAUGUUUUAGUGGCGAAAAUAGUCUUCCCCCUACUCUGAUUCCUUUUAUCCCAACCACCAUCGCACAACCUGCACACAAACACCACGAUGUCGGAAAUCAAAGGUGGUUUUGCAGGAAUCGAGCAUCAAGAAAUGCAUGAUCUGUAUGUAAUUUAGCUACAAAGUCACAAUCACGAUGCUCCCUUCAGUAGCAAUUCAUUCAAAGAAACAAUUCUCGUGAAAAUUCGAGAACACUGAUAGGCUGCCACAAGUGAUGUAUAUCAAGCAUAUUUGUGGACUUGGAAGGCAACCAACUAUUUUGAGGAGAUUUAGUGUUCCAGUAAAAGACUAAGCAGGCAGUAAAAUUAUUAAUUUAAUUUCCAUAAAUAAUAACAUACCUUGUGAUUUUCAGUAUUUUGAUAACCAAGAAACUUUUUUAUUAAUAUUAACAAUAACAACAAAAUCGUAAAAAAGAUAAAGUAAAGGGAAAAGGAUCAUUUUUCAAGGGUGUAACAGUAUUUCAACUCAUAUUGUGAGUGAGAGGGGUCAAAACCGAUGUGAAACCUUAAAAAGGGACCAAAAAUGGAAAAAACCAAAAAAAUUAGUGUAGUUCCUUUCAUGUUGACAUUACUUAAAAUAUGUAAUUGGUGUCCUCUUUUGGUUCAACUUAUCCUCCCAGUGCAUACUCACCGGAUGUUCUUCCAAAAUAUGUGGUUUGGUUGCUUAAUCAGGGUUCAAAUGUCAUGUAUAUGGACUUCCAUCCUUAGCAACAAACCAUUCUCUUAGGUUGAUUCCAUGUUUGCUUGCUUUAACACCUACCAAUUUCUUAAUUUGAUCUAAUAUUCAAUAUCCUUUUUUAUGAAAUUAAGAAAAAGUGGUAAUGAGAUUGUUUACAGGCUUAUAUCUAACCAUAUAUGCCUAAUAUGCUAUAUGAUCUUUGCAGUUGAAAAAAAUGUUGGUGAAAUACGUAUUUGGGAGGUUGGAACUCGAGAAAGAAUUGUUCAUAAACCAUCCAAGGUUUGGGAUUUAUCAGCUUGACUUAAUGCCUUUUUAGAAAUGUGUGUACCAACACAAGAUGGAACUUAAGAAGAUGAACAUUUUCAUAUUGAAGGCGGGGAUUGAUGACUGACAGAUCUGUAUACCGAGCGGAGCCCGAUGUCGGGUACGACCCAAUGCCUGACGAGACCCGAUGAAGGGUUGGGUCCCAGUAUGUGAUUAUUAUGUAUGGUACUUAUGGUUCGAAAGGGAAUGGCUCGACUUGAUCGCAACACAUCCACCCAUGUUUCUGUAUUAUGAUGAUUUUGGAGUAGACUCCUGUGAUCUUUUGUACGUUCAAGGAGGGGAUUUUGAAGAUUUUAGAUGAGCGUCUGGGCGCAUUUCGUACUGAGCUAUUGGCUAUUGUUGGAGUUCGCACUCUUUCUUUCCGUGAGUUCCAUGCUUGUGGAGCUCCCGAGAUUGGUGGGAGGAGGUAGACUUUGCUUUGGGAGGUGUGAUGUCCAAAUAAUAACGAAUUAAAUUUUCGUUUUUAAAUUAAUAAAUCGUUAAUACAUAUCAUUUCCAUAAAA